UUAACAUGCAGUCGACGGCAGCGCGGGAGCAAUCCUGGCGGCGAGUGGCGAACGGGUGAGUAAUACAUCGGAACGUGUCCUGUAGUGGGGGAUAGCCCGGCGAAAGCCGGAUUAAUACCGCAUACGCUCUACGGAGGAAAGGGGGGGAUCUUAGGACCUCUCGCUACAGGGGCGGCCGAUGGCGGAUUAGCUAGUUGGUGGGGUAAAGGCCUACCAAGGCGACGAUCCGUAGCUGGUCUGAGAGGACGACCAGCCACACUGGGACUGAGACACGGCCCAGACUCCUACGGGAGGCAGCAGUGGGGAAUUUUGGACAAUGGGGGCAACCCUGAUCCAGCAAUGCCGCGUGUGUGAAGAAGGCCUUCGGGUUGUAAAGCACUUUUGUCCGGAAAGAAAUCAUCCUGGUUAAUACCUGGGGUGGAUGACGGUACCGGAAGAAUAAGCACCGGC
rnacentral:rRNA from 2 species